ACAGCAGCCGCCGCGGGAAUACGGAGGGGGCUAGCGUUGUUCGGAAUUACUGGGCGUAAAGCGCACGUAGGCGGCUUUGUAAGUUAGAGGUGAAAGCCCGGAGCUCAACUCCGGAAUUGCCUUUAAGACUGCAGAGCUAGCAGGUGAGAGAGGUGAGUGGAAUUCCGAGUGUAGAGGUGAAAUUCGUAGAUAUUCGGAAGAACACCAGUGGCGAAGGCGGCUCACUGGCUCAUACUGGACGCUGAGAGACGAAAGCUAGGGGAGAAAAUGGGAUUAGAGACCCGCGUAGUCCCUGUCUCUUAUAC
rnacentral:rRNA from 1 species